CCUACGGGAGGCAGCAGUGAGGAAUAUUGGUCAAUGGGAGAGAUCCUGAACCAGCCAAGCCGCGUGAGGGAAGACGGCCCUAUGGGUUGUAAACCUCUUUUGUCGGAGAACAAAACCCGGGACGUGUCCCGGACUGCGUGUAUCCGAAGAAAAAGCAUCGGCUAACUCCGUGCCAGCAGCCGCGGUAAUACGGAGGAUGCGAGCAUUAUCCGGAUUUAUUGGGUUAAAAGGGUGCGUAGGCGGUCCGUUAAGUCAGCGGUAAAAUGGCGGGGCUCAACCCCGUCGAGCCGUUGAAACUGGCAGACUUGAGUUGGCGAGAAGUACGCGGAAUGCGCGGUGUAGCGGUGAAAUGCAUAGAUAUCGCGCAGAACUCCGAUUGCGAAGGCAGCGUACCGGCGCCAGACUGACGCUGAGGCACGAAAGCGUGGGGAUCGAACAGGAUUAGAUACCCCAGUAGUC
rnacentral:rRNA from 1 species